GUAGAGCCAGCACCUACAAACUUAAAUACAAGUUUGAUUUGACUAUAUUUAGGGAGGGAAGAGGGGUAAAGGGGCUAGAUCAGUGUUACCCAAACCAGUCCUCAUGGACCACCAACAAUCCAGGUUUUGUCAGUAUAUCUACUGGAAUAAAACAGGGACACACAUAAAUCCUGGACUGUUGGUGGUCCAUGAGGACUGGGUUAGUGAACGCUGUAGAGACAAGAAUACAUGUUUAUAGUGCUCCUUUUAAAUACAAAAGCUGUGAUCAGCUAGCAAACACUUAGUUUAUAGUCUUUAUUAAAC